GUGCCAGCCGCCGCGGUAAUACAGAGGGUGCAAGCGUUAAUCGGAAUUACUGGGCGUAAAGCGUGCGUAGGUGGUUGGAUAAGUCAGGUGUGAAAUCCCCGAGCUUAACUUGGGAAUUGCGCUUGAGACUGUCCGGCUAGAGUGUGGUAGAGGGUAGUGGAAUUCCGCAUGUAGCGGUGAAAUGCGUAGAUAUGCGGAGGAACAUCAGUGGCGAAGGCGGCUACCUGGACCAACACUGACACUGAGGUACGAAAGCGUGGGGAGCAAACAGGAUUAGAUACCCGCGUAGUCC
rnacentral:rRNA from 1 species